CCAAAGGAAAGAAAGAGAAAGAAGGAGACAUGCCACGUGAAAAAAGAUGCAAUGCAAUAGUUGUAGUAUUUGUGAUGAUGUAGAGAAAACCUCCCAAUUCGCUCCCUCUCCGUUUUUUUUUCUUUUCUCUUUCUUUUCUUUUUUUUU
rnacentral:ribozyme from 1 species